UUCCAGCUCCAAUAGCGUAUAUUAAAGUUGUUGCGGUUAAAAAGCUCGUAGUUGAAUUUGUGUCCCGCACUGUCGGUUCACCGCCCGCGGUGUUAACUGGCAUGUUUGCGGGACGUCCUGCCGGUGGAUGUAAGUGAAGAGAUUUUCGGAUCUUCUUUACUCAUCCGACUUAUAAAUCCUGUCGCGGUGCUCUUAAUUGAGUGUCGAGGCGGGCCGGCACGUUUACUUUGAACAAAUUAGAGUGCUCAAAGCAGGCUAAUUAAUGCCUGAAUAAUUAGUGCAUGGAAUAAUGGAACAGGACCUUGGUUCUAUUUUGUUGGUUUUCGGAACCCCAAGGUAAUGAUUAAUAGGGACAGAUGG
rnacentral:rRNA from 1 species